CGGAUCGCAGGCUGCAACCCGCCUGCGUGAAGUCGGAAUCGCUAGUAAUCGCGGAUCAGCAUGCCGCGGUGAAUACGUUCCCGGGCCUUGUACACACCGCCCGUCACACCAUGAGAGUCGGGAACACCCGAAGUCCGUAGCCUAACCAUAACUGGAGGGCGCGGCCGAAGGUGGGUUCGAUAAUUGGGGUGAAGUCGUAACAAGGUAAC
rnacentral:rRNA from 1 species